AGGGUGUAAACGCUGCAGACUUGGUGUUGGGAACCCUUCGGGGGUGCUCAGUGCCGGAGAGAAGUUGUUAAGUCUGCUACUUGGGGAGUACGUCCGCAAGGAUGAAACUUAAAGGAAUUGGCGGGGGAGCACCGCAACGGGAGGAGCGUGCGGUUUAAUUGGAUUCAACACCGUAAAACUCACCAGGGAAGACUGUUACAUGAAAGCCGAGAUGAAGACUCUGCUAGAUUUUCAGAGAGGUGGUGCAUGGCGUCAGUGACU
rnacentral:rRNA from 1 species